AGAAGACGGACUCAUGGUCCAUUACGACAUCAAGAUGCUGACGUUCCUGAUGCUGGCUAGACUCUCCACUCUGUGUCCCAGUGCUGUGCUACAGAGGCUGGACAGACUGGGCUGAGCGCUACGCGCCACCUGCACCACCAAGGUGAAGGCCAACUCAGUGAAGCAGGAGUUUGAGAAGCAGGAUGAGUUGAAGCGGUCAGCCAUGCGGGCUGUGGUCGCCCUCCUCACCAUCCCCGAGGCGGAGAAGAGUCCCCUGAUGAGCGAGUUCCAGUCCCAGAUCUCCUCCAACCCUGAGCUGGCUGCCAUCUUUGAAAACAUCCAGAGAGACUCGUCCUCCGCUAACAUGGAGUCCAUGGACACCAGCUAAACUAUGACUCUCCCACAAUCCCCCUCUUCUUCCUUUCAUUCCCAAAACAUGAUGCCGCAACAGCAACAAAAAAUACCUAGGAGGAGGGGGGACCCUUUUAUCAAUCGUUCCAUGAUGCAUUGCACUGAAUCAGCAACAGUUAUAGGAGAAAAAUAAAAAAUAAUUGAACUUUAAAACAAAACAAAAUGUAAAACAAAAAAUAAAAGUAAAAGAAAGUUUCUCUUUAAAGCUUUUAAGCUCAUCACCACAUUUCUCAUUUCUAAAAAAAAACAACUUAAAAAAAACCACGAAAUAAAUCAGUUUUUGGUUUGUUCCAUCGUU